UGGGGAAUCUUCCGCAAUGGACGAAAGUCUGACGGAGCAACGCCGCGUGUAUGAUGAAGGUCUUCGGAUUGUAAAGUACUGUCAUUGGGGGAGAACGGUUUUCUUGAAAAGAUUGAGAAGACAUGACGGUACCCAAGGAGGAAGCCCCGGCUAACUACGUGCCAGCAGCCGCGGUAAUACGUAGGGGGCAAGCGUUGUCCGGAAUUAUUGGGCGUAAAGGGCGCGUAGGCGGGCCUUUAAGUCCGGUGUGAAAGAUCAGGGCUCAACCCUGAGAGUGCAUCGGAAACUGGAGGCCUUGAGGACAGGAGAGGAAAGUGGAAUUCCACGUGUAGCGGUGAAAUGCGUAGAUAUGUGGAGGAACACCAGUGGCGAAGGCGACUUUCUGGACUGUAACUGACGCUGAGGCGCGAAAGCGUGGGGAGCAAACAGGAUUAGAUACCCUGGUAGUCCACGCCGUAAACGAUGAGUGCUAGGUGUAGAGGGUAUCGACCCCUUCUGUGCCGCAGUUAACACAAUAAGCACUCCGCCUGGGGAGUACGGCCGCAAGGUUGAAACUCAAAU
rnacentral:rRNA from 1 species